rnacentral:lncRNA from 1 species
AGACACUGAAAGUGGAAAUAAGGAUUAAAAUGUAUUAUAGGAAGACGCCGAAUCACCCCGCUGCUGACAGGCAGGUCUGCCCAUGCCCUACCGAGGUCCCCAGUCGCACGGAACACACCGAAUCACCCUGCUGCAGACAGGCAGCCACCUGGUUCCACACUACAAAGACACAGAGGACACCAGACAACCAGACCAAGAAUGCCUGGUACAUACCACACAUUUGAUAAGUACUGCUGACUAAUUGACAGUCCAAUAGAACCACAUGAGAGGAUUAAAAAUGGUGGUAUAUACCAGCAGCAAAAUACAGCCUCUCCAGGACCUGGAAUCAAGACAUCUGGAAAACAACAACUUGGCAAAGAGAAAAAAAAAGAAGUAGAUUUCUGGAAAUUGGGAG